UUAGGUUUGAAAUGAUUAAUGACUUUGCCUUGUCAUUUUUUUUAUUUAUGUUCCUGAUUUUGUUGUUUCAUCAAAGCAUUGGUUUUUCAUUAGAGGUCCGGAAACCAAGUUUUGUUGGAUAAUUCCUUUUUCCUUUUCUUUAUGUUCCUCUAUUUUUCUGUAGUCUGGAGUACUUGCAUGAGUAUUUCCUUUGUUGUAGUUAGCUGAUCAAUGUAUGAGUACUCGCAUGAGUAUUUCCUUCUUUGUAGUUAGCUGAUCAAUGUAUGAGUACUUGCAUGAGUAUUUCCUUUUUUGUAGUUAGCUGAUCAAUGUAUUGCCUUAAACUGAUGUAAUCUGAGGGCAUACUAUCUAGAAAGUUACCUAAUGGGCUGGUUGGCUGCGUGUGUUCAGUGUCUUUCCUUAUUUGCCGAAGUUUUUGUAAUACAGGUAAUAGAAAAGGGAAUGAAAUUGCUUGAAGAUUUGCUGGGAUACUGUAUAUGUAAAUGUUGAUUUUUGACUGUAUAAAAUGUUAUCUGUGCUUGAUAUCAUGGUGGACGAUCAAAAGCAUAAAUACAAUGUGUUUUGUGCUAAAUAUAGUGGUUUGGUUGAUCUAAGAAGUGGGUGAAACUCACCCUUUUUUGUAGUUAGCUGAUCAAUGUAUGAGUACUCGCAUGAGUAUUUCCUUCUUUGUAGUUAGCUGAUCAAUGUAUGAGUACUUGCAUGAGUAUUUCCUUUUUUGUAGUUAGCUGAUCAAUGUAUUGCCUUAAACUGAUGUAAUCUGAGGGCAUACUAUCUAGAAAGUUACCUAAUGGGCUGGUUGGCUGCGUGUGUUCAGUGUCUUUCCUUAUUUGCCGAAGUUUUUGUAAUACAGGUAAUAGAAAAGGGAAUGAAAUUGCUUGAAGAUUUGCUGGGAUACUGUAUAUGUAAAUGUUGAUUUUUGACUGUAUAAAAUGUUAUCUGUGCUUGAUAU
rnacentral:lncRNA from 1 species